UCAGCCUGUGAAGUCAGAAAGGGUGGCUGC
rnacentral:piRNA from 1 species